rnacentral:misc_RNA from 1 species
CGGGGAGGCGCUCAGCGCUUCUUCCCACCGACUACUUAGGAAAGCCCCACCCAUCGCGGUGGGGCUUUUCGUUUUGGCUGA